CAUAGAUUGUAGUGAGAUGUUCACCUUCUUUGAUUAUAUUCCGUUAUAUCAAUCUCCUAACUUCCUAUUCUGUUGUAGCAACGGAAAGGAUCUAGAUCAAGUAUUCUGAUUGGCUGAGUUGGAAAUGUGUUGCACUGAUUGUAUUAACUUGUGAUUGUCCUUUUCAGAUCAUGCUCUCCGUCUAUGGAACAUACAGACGGACACGUUAGUGGCCAUAUUUGGCGGUGUGGAAGGGCAUCGAGAUGAAGUCCUGAGUGCUGACUUUGAUCUACUUGGCGAAAAGAUAAUGUCUUGUGGGAUGGACCACUCCUUAAAACUUUGGCGAAUCAAUUCAGAGAGGAUGCAGAUAGCCAUCCGAGGGUCUUAUGAGUACAACCCCUCCAAGACCAACAGGCCUUUCGUUUCACAGAAAAUUCACUUCCCGGAUUUCUCAACACGAGACAUCCACAGGAACUACGUGGACUGUGUGCGGUGGCUCGGGGAUCUCAUUCUCUCCAAGGCAAG